AAGGCAGCAGGCACGCAAAUUACCCACUCCCGGCACGGGGAGGUAGUGACAAAAAAUAACGAUACGGGACUCAUCCGAGGCCCCGUAAUCGGAAUGAGAACACUUUAAAUCCUUUAACAAGGAUCCAAUGGAGGGCAAGUCUGGUGCCAGCAGCCGCGGUAAUUCCAGCUCCAUUAGCGUAUAUUAAAGUUGUUGCGGUUAAAAAGCUCGUAGUUGGUUCUGCGUCCCAUGCUGUCGGUUCACCGCCUGACGGUGCAACUGACAUGUCGUGGGAUGUCCUGUCGGUGGCGGCCUUGACCCACUGCGUGUGGAGGUUUCCGAAGCACGCUGCUGCGCGUCAGGCCGCCGAUUCAAUCCUGCCGCGGUGCUCUUGAUUGAGUGUCGAGGUAGGCCGACACGUUUACUUUGAACAAAUUAGAGUGCUCAAAGCAGGCUAAUAAUGCCUGGAUAUUGGUGCAUGGAAUAAUGGAAUAGGACCUCGGUUCUAUUUUGUUGGUUUUCGGAACCCGAGGUAAUGAUCAAUAUGGACAGGCGGGGGCAUUCGUAUUGCGGCGUUAGAGGUGAAAUUCUUGGAUCGUCGCAAGACGCACUAGAGCGAAAGCAUUUGCCAAGUAUGUCUUAGUUGAUCAAGAACGAAAGUUAGAGGUUCGAAGGCGAUCAGAUACCGCCCUAGUUCUAACCAUAAACGAUGCCAGCCAGCGAUCCGCCGAUGUUCCUCCGAUGACUCGG
rnacentral:rRNA from 1 species